GAUGAACGCUGGCGGCGUGCCUAAUACAUGCAAGUCGAGCGAAUGGAUUAAGAGCUUGCUCUUAUGAAGUUAGCGGCGGACGGGUGAGUAACACGUGGGUAACCUGCCCAUAAGACUGGGAUAACUCCGGGAAACCGGGGCUAAUACCGGAUAACAUUUUGAACCGCAUGGUUCGAAAUUGAAAGGCGGCUUCGGCUGUCACUUAUGGAUGGACCCGCGUCGCAUUAGCUAGUUGGUGAGGUAACGGCUCACCAAGGCAACGAUGCAUAGCCGACUUGAGAGGGUGAUCGGCCACACUGGGACUGAGACACGGCCCAGACUCCUACGGGAGGCAGCAGUAGGGAAUCUUCCGCAAUGGACGAAAGUCUGACGGAGCAACGCCGCGUGAGUGACGAAGGCUUUCGGGUCGUAAAACUCUGUUGUUAGGGAAGAACAAGUGCUAGUUGAAUAAGCUGGCACCUUGACGGUACCUAACCAGAAAGCCACGGCUAACUACGUGCCAGCAGCCGCGGUAA
rnacentral:rRNA from 1 species